CAAAGUAUAGCUUAAUCAAAGCACCCGGCCUACACCCGGAAGAUCUCAAAUAAACUGAUUACUUUGA
rnacentral:tRNA from 1 species